rnacentral:rRNA from 1 species
GACAGCAGUAGCCGCGGGAAUACAGAGGAUGCAAGCGUUGUCCGGAUUCAUUGGGCGUAAAGGGUGCGUAGGCGGUCGGGUAAGUCGGAUGUGAAAUCCUGGGGCUCAACCUCAGAACUGCAUUCGAUACUGCUUGGCUAGAGGACUGGAGAGGAGACUGGAAUUCACGGUGUAGCAGUGAAAUGCGUAGAUAUCGUGAGGAAGACCAGCGGCGAAGGCGGGUCUCUGGACAGUUCCUGACGCUGAUGCACGGAGGCCAGGGGAGCAAACGGGAUUAGAUACCCCCGUAGUCCCUGUCUCUUAUAC